UGUUUCAGGCAGUAGAAAAAGAGUCGGUUGAAUUGACUUGUUCUUAAAAUUGAAGGAGUAGCCUGGAUGUUGUCUAAACAAACAAAAACCCACUCAACCUUGUAGAGAAGGAAAUGAUUUUCGGAAAUAAUUAUUUUACAAAAAAUUGAUUACGUAGAAAGUUGAAAUUAAUUAUAGUUUAAUACGACAAGACUAAUUGUACGAAGAAAGAGAUAGAACUCAGCCUAAACAAUAACAUCAAAUGAAUACUUUUCUCUCUCUAUUUAAUGGUACAUAUCCUCAACUAAAUACUACUCUUCAAGAAUUUUUAGAAGAAAACAGAAACAGUGAAAAGGCAACAAAAUACAAUUGAAUACUUUGCAUUCCAAUACCUUUACUCUAGGUAUUUAUCUGUUGUCCUCCCUUCAUUCCUCUUUUUCUCUGAAUGGCAACAGAUAAAUGGAAAGAAAGAGCAACCAACAACAACAAGAACCACUGACAACCACAAAAUGCUUAUAUAUAAAAAAGAGAUUUAUGGCUAACCAUGAUCAUUAACCAAGGUUUUUUCUAAUUUUUAACAGAACAUCUUUAUUCAUUUUUAAAACACAAAUAGUAAAUUUCCUCUGUAUAUGUAGUAUAGACUGUAUCGCACAUCACAUGUUGAAUAUGAUUAUAUAAUAACAAAAAGAAUACCAUGACGGAGAUCCACAUACUUACAAACUCAUAAUAAAAUACUAAGAAAACUGCCAAAGAAAUGAGGAAACAAUGAAGGGGGUUAAAGGACAGGAGAAAAUCCCGCUAUGACGAUCAAGGAUAUGACUUCAUUUUCUCCAAAUUACAUACAUAUAAUAAAUAAUACAACAUCAGAUCCACUUCCUCUCAAAGUAAAUAGUGGAGAGGCAUCCUUGAUAUUUAAGCUUUUAAGACAAAUGAAGUCAAGUCUCUCUUUCUUCUCUCACACCCGAAGCUAAGCCAAAGGAAAUGAAGAAGCUGCGGUUAGGUUUAAAAAUGAGGUUAAAAGUUAUACUUGAUCCCAGCCAUUUUCUUGCAGAUUGACAGUAGGAGAAACCACAACCAGCAAUCUCUGAGUAAUUGUUAAUUCAAUGUCACUCCAUGAUUUUAAUGCCUUAUCUAGUCACACCAACUAGUUGUCGAUCUCUUUCAAGCAAUGAGGAAGAAUUUAACGCCCAAGACGGAAGCAGAAAGUGCUCUUCAACAUCAUGUAACGUUCUACACUUCAUUCCAAAAAUAAUUAGGAUCGAUAGAAAUUCAAGGGCCACUACUUCAAAGUUACAACUAAGUCUAUAAAAUCCAAAUAAGUAAUAAUAGCGAACUUGACACAUGAUAUUCAUUAAAAUACAUCGUGAAAGAA
rnacentral:lncRNA from 1 species